AUGCCGCUCCGCCCGCGCUGCGUCCCCGCGUGCGCGCCGGGUUAUCCGGUCUUUGAGCAUGGCAGAUUUUCACUAGAUGACAUCAUGGGAGCUAGCGAGUGCCGGCUCCACAAGGGGGACGGAGAAGGGGAGGGAGAAGGGGAGGGGAGAGGCUGGGAAGCCGCGCCAGAGCCGUUGCCUGCCGCCCGCCGUCCUUCCGCCAGCCCGGGAGGAGCGCUCCGCUGGUUACUGACAAAGGAUGGGAGGAUGACUGCGCCCCGAGAUGAGCGUUGUGCGCAGCCCGGCGGCCGCCUGAGCAGCUUCGCCCUUCGCCGCAGGGGACCAGAUGUCUGAGAAGCCUUCUGACCCUGGAAGUAUGGCAAGUGGGCAUCUGCUGUGUUAAACAUAUUGCAAAACUUGAAGAAAAAAAAAAAAAAAAAAACGAUUUUAUUUUUCCCAUUUGGAUAAAGCUGGGAGUUUUAUCUUGUAAGAAAAAGCCAUUGAGAGGAAAGCCAGGGGUUCUGCUGGGUCACAAAGUCUUCAUUAUGAUGCUCUCAGUAAUGACCACACAGGACAGUUAAUGAGUUGACCUGGGGUGUAUGGUACAGCAAUUGAUACCUGAUAUCUGCCUGGGUUGCUGAUCACAUGGAUGGUUCUGGGAUGCUGAUCACAUGGAUGGUCCUGGGAUCCUGCUGAUAUUGGCUGCUAAAAUAUGCCACUCUCUGAACUAAUGCCAUCUUUAAUUAAAGUCUUUAUCAAUGGUUCUCAGAUUUUGGUGUGAAUCACAAAUACCUGUAUAAUAGCUAAAGAUCCAGAUUCUUGGGUUCCACUGACAGAAAGUUUGACAUUUUGAGUGAGAGGAACAAUCUAUCACUUUUCUAGUGGUUUGUGUCUCCCAGAGAGAGGGACUUCCAGCUACAAUGUAAGCACCUAUGUUGUAGUACUAUUUGUACCUGUGAAGCUAUUAAGAAAGAAAAAAACAGACAUUAUUAUAGCUAUGAUCUCGCUAUAAGAAGAAAAAUGAAGCUCUAGAUGGCCCCUUAUUUAUUUCAAAGCACAACUAGUACAUUGAAAUUGCAGCAUAAAUAAUUUGAAUGUUCUGUGGCUGGUACAGCUGGUUAAACUGUAUAUUCACAAUGCAUAGACUAUGGACUUCCAUAAUUUACUUAAAGUGUACCAGAAAUAAGAACUUCAGAGAGACUCUUUCUUCUCCAUAGAAGCAGCAGCUAAAGUAUGUAUCUUGGUAUAUAUCAGAAGUAGUAACUUGAUUGAAGGAUUUCACUUCAGACAGGUCUGAUGAAGUUCAAAGCUUUUAAAUACAUCAGAAAAGAAUAUUGAAAACAGUGGCAAAUGA
rnacentral:lncRNA from 1 species